GGGGGGAAAAUUAAUAAUUUAAAUAUAAUAAAAGAAAUUUUAAUACGAAAAUGGGGGUUGGAGUAUUAUAAUAGAAAAAAUUUAAAUUUUUAUAGUAAAUUAGUAUUGUAAAAGAAUUAUGAAAUAAUUGAAAAAUAAUUUAUAAAAAAGUAAAUUUAAUUUAUUGUAUCUUGUGUAUCAGAGUUUAUUAAAUAAAUUUAUAUAAAUAUAUAAAUCUCGAAUUUAAAAGAGAUAAUUAAUUAAAAAAGUUAAUGUAGUAUAAUUAUUUUUAAUAGUUAAUUUGCAAUGAAAUGUUAAUCGUUUUUAAAUAUAUCUAGUUUUUUUAGAAAUAAAUUUAAUUUAAAAUUUAUUUUUAAUAAAAAUUUUUUUAAAAAUUUUUAUUAAAUUAAAUUAAAUAUUAAAAGGGAUAAGCUUUUUAAUAAAUACUUAUAAAUAAAUAAAAAUUAUUGAAAUUUUUAAAAUUUAAAUUGUUUAAAAAUUUUAAUUUUUUAUAAAAAAUUUUAAUAAAAAUAAAAUUUAAUAAAAUUUUAAAUUUUUUAUAAAAAAAAAUUUUUUUUUAAAAAAAAAUUGUUAUAAUGAUAAAAUUAGUAUAAAUAAUAAUAAAUAUGUAAUUAUAAUUAUAAUUAAAUAAAAGGAAUUCGGCAAAAUUUUAUAUUCACUUGUUUAUCAAAAACAUGUCUUUUUGAAAAUAAUUUAAAGUCUAAUCUGCCCACUGAUAAAUAUUAAAGGGCUGCAGUAUAUUGACUGUACAAAGGUAGCAUAAUCAUUAGUCUUUUAAUUGAAGACUUGUAUGAAAGAUUUAAUGAAAUAUAAACUGUCUCUUAUUUAAUAAUUAAAAUUUAAUUUUUUAGUUAAAAAGCUAAAAUAAAUUUAAAAGACGAGAAGACCCUAUAGAGUUUUAUAAUUAAUUUAUUUUAGAUUAUAUAUAUAAUUUUUAAUUAAAAAUAAAUUAAUUAUUUUAUUGGGGUGAUAGAAAAAUUAAAAAAACUUUUUUUAAUAGAAAUCAUUAAUAAGUGAAUAGUUGAUCCAUUAAUAAUGAUUAAAAGAAAAAAUUACCUUAGGGAUAACAGCGUAAUUUUUUUUUUUAGUUCAAAUAAAAAAAAGAGAUUGCGACCUCGAUGUUGGAUUAAGAUAAAAUAUAAAUGCAAAAGUUUAAAAUUUUGAUCUGUUCGAUCAUUAAAAUCUUACAUGAUCUGAGUUCAAACCGGUGUGAGCCAGGUUGGUUUCUAUCUUUAGAAAAUUAAAAUAUUUUAGUACGAAAGGAUCAAAUAUUUGAAAUAAUUUUAUAAAAAGAAUAUUAUUAAUAUAAUUAUAUAUAUAUAUAUAUAUAUAUAUAAUUG
rnacentral:rRNA from 1 species